CAAUAGCGUAUAUUAAAGUUGUUGCAGUUAAAAAGCUCGUAGUUGGAUUUCUGGUGGGAGCGAUCGGUCUGGCGCUUAGCGCGAGUACUUGCAUCGUCUCCGGCCAUCCUUGGGGAGAGUCUGUCUGGCAUUAAGUUGUCGGGCAGAGGAUCCUCAUCGUUUACUGUGAAAAAAUUAGAGUGUUCAAAGCAGGCUUAUGCCGUUGAAUAUAUUAGCAUGGAAUAAUAAGAUAGGACUUUGGUACUAUUUUGUUGGUUUGCGCACCAAAGUAAUGAUUAAUAGGGACAGUUGGGGGUAUUCGUAUUCAGUUGUCAGAGGUGAAAUUCUUGGAUUUACGGAAGACGAACUACUGCGAAAGCAUUUACCAAGGAUGUUUUCAUUAA
rnacentral:rRNA from 1 species